UCCACUCGUCAUGUAGGCUAGUGCAUGAGUAUGAGAAGAAUUAACUAAAUUUAAAAGCAGACAUGUGAAGAAUGCUUGAUACAUGUGUGGCCCACCUGAUGUGCAUUUCCGUUUGGGUAUUUCUGCUCAUGUAUGUUUGGACUGACUCCUUUAUUAACCCUUGCUUGUGAUGUCUUCAUCUGGAGCUACUUCCACACUGGGAGAGCCUACUGCUUCAAUAGGCAAUUCUGGGAAGACCCAACUUGCAUACAGAUGAUCUGAGCAUUCUCUUGUACAGACCAAGUUGACAUCACUGACAGUAGCUACAUAGGAAAAGGCAUAAGCUAAAGACAAAGAAGAAGAGGAAUACGAAGAAGAAUCUGAAGAAGAAACUGAGAAAAAGAAAGGCACGCAGGGUGUUAUUGAGAUCGAAAAUCCUAAUUUGUAAAACCAAAGAAUUUGAAAGUGAGAGACGUUUUGGAUAUAUCCUCCUAAUUGUUGUACAGUGGGAAAAGUUUAGCAUUUUGACAUCUGGAAGCUUAUUAGAUAGUAUGAAAUUUGUCAUUUAAUGAUUCUGCUAGAAUUUUUCUGAAUGCAUUGGCUAAAUUUAUUGGUGUGUGGGGCUGAAUAUGUCUGUAGAGAAGGCCUUCUUCCUCUCAUGUGGAAUGUCUGAAUAGAUCAUUGCUGCUCAUAAUAUCUGUAUUAUAUUCUACUUAUGAUUAUAUCACAAGGAAUGGAAGCUUCUUCACCUCAAAAUUUUCUUCAGUGUAUGUCAAUAACACCAAGUCCACUAGCACCUUAAAAUAAUUGCUCACAGACAGCUAACUUUUUUCCAUGUGAUCACCAAUGGGGAAGAGUUUCUUCAAAAAAUGCUCUCCAAUUGAUGGUAUUUAGUAUGAUAUCAUAUUUCAAUUCUUAUUUCACAACCCAUUCUAGAAGGUAACCCAGAAAAUUAUGCUGAUCGAUAACUCAAGUGGGCCACACCAUAGGCAAAUGUGGGAAUGGAGAUGUCUGCCCUUGAAAUCUUCCAGAGGCGCAAUGUGAUGUUUAUAUGACAUCUAACAUGUUCAUAAGGUUACAUGGAUGAUGAAGAGAAAAACUAAAUACAUACUCUAUCCAAGAAGUCGGUUGGGUCCUAGGAAGAUUCAAUGGUGUUUGUUCUAUUCUGUUGUUCCCAGUAGUGUGGUCCACUUGAGAUUUGGAUGGCCCUGAUUUUCUGGUUUACCUCCUAAAAUGGUCUGUAUCAGGUGAUAGAUGGAUUGGAUUUCAAAUAUACAUCAUGGUGGGUACAUGGUACAUUCCCUCUGAGUAGGGAGGAGUGGAGACGUCUCUUUAACAUGGGUGAACUAUGGAACACCGUAAUUUUGGAGUGCUACUCACAUGGGACCAAAAUCAGUAGGACUCUGCAUCAUGUCAUUUUAUUCCUGAAUUGUUCUGC